rnacentral:rRNA from 1 species
GACGAACGCUGGCGGCGUGCCUAACACAUGCAAGUGGAGCGACGAACCAGGCUUCGGCCUGGGGCAAAGCCGCGAACGGGUGAGUAACACGUGGGUAACCUGCCCUGAUGAUUGGGACAACCCGAGGAAACUCGGGCUAAUACCAAAUGUGCCCUUCGGCCAUAAGGCCGCCGGGAAGGAAGCUUCGGCCUCCGCAUCUGGAUGGGCCCGCGGCCAUUAGCUUGUUGGUGAGGUAACGGCUCACCAAGGCGACGAUGGGUAGCUGGUCUGAGAGGACGAUCAGCCACACUGGGACUGAGACACGGCCCAGACUCCUACGGGAGGCAGCAGUGGGGAAUCUUGCGCAAUGCGCGAAAGCGUGACGCAGCAACGCCGCGUGGGGAAGAAG